GACGAACGCUGGCGGCGUGCUUAACACAUGCAAGUCGAACGGAAAGGCCCUUUUUGGGGGGGACGCGCGAGGGGCGAGGGGGUGACACACGCGUGAGUCACCCUCCCGUGUCUGGGAGAUAACUUGAAGAAUGGGGGGCACAUGCCAGAGAGGCGCCCCUGCUGUGGGGUGGGGGGGGGAGUUUGGGGGGGUGGGGGGGGGCUCGCGGGGUAUCAGCUUGUUGGUGGGGUGUUGGCGUACCAAGGCUUUGACGGGUAGCCGGCCUGAGAGGGUGACCGGCCACAUUGGGCCUGAGAAACGGCCCAGACUCCUACGGGAGGCAGCGGUGGGGAAUAUUGACCAAUGGGCGAAAGCCUGAUCCAGCACCGCCGCGUGGGGGAUGCCGGCCUUCGGGUUGUAACCCGCUUUCGCCUGGGACGAAGCGUGAGUGACGGUAGUGGGUAAAGAAGCACCGGCUAACUACGUG
rnacentral:rRNA from 1 species